GACGAACGCUGGCGGCGUGCCUAACACAUGCAAGUCGAACGGACAUAAACUCUUCGGAGUUUAUGUUAGUGGCGGACGGGUGAGUAACGCGUGAGCAACCUGCCUUUCAGAGGGGGAUAACGUUUGGAAACAAACGCUAAUACCGCAUAAGAUAGUAGUAUCGCAUGGUAUAGCUAUCAAAGGAGCAAUUCACUGAAAGAUGGGCUCGCGUCCGAUUAGAUAGUUGGUGAGGUAAUGGCUCACCAAGUCAGCGAUCGGUAGCCGGACUGAGAGGUUGAACGGCCACAUUGGGACUGAGACACGGCCCAGACUCCUACGGGAGGCAGCAGUGGGGGAUAUUGCACAAUGGGCGAAAGCCUGAUGCAGCAACGCCGCGUGAGGGAAGAC
rnacentral:rRNA from 1 species